GUUGAGGGCGUGAUUGUGAAGAGACAGUCUAACAUCGCGUAUCGCGAAGAAGAGAGAGAGUCCUCUCGCCUUGCCCUGAGAGGUGCAACUAACUAACUUCCUUCCUCGUUGUGAGGCCACUCGUCGGUCCUACCCGGCUCCAGGCACGCGCCCCGCUGCAGGCAGGAGCUUUGCUCGCUCCCCACCUGGCACUCACAUAGCGCACAGGUGCACGGAUGCGCGUACUGCAGGACCUUAGUGAAGCCGCCUUCUGGCGACCGUGGGAGUGAGAUAUGGGGCAUCAGCAACGGAAGGGCGGUGGCUGGCGCACUAUCUGGCGACCGUAUACUCACCAGCCAUGUGAGGGAAGUCCACGGCGGCGCCAUGCUAUUCCCGGUGCUGGACGUCGUCCUGGACUGCCUCGCUGGAGCUCCUACUCGACUGCACCGCGGCGAGCUGUCUGCGGAACUGGGCGCC